UACGGGGGGAGCAAGCGUUGUUCGGAUUUACUGGGCGUAAAGGGCGCGUAGGCGGUCAGCACAAGUCAGUUGUGAAAUCUCCGGGCUUAACUCGGAAAGGUCAACUGAUACUGUGCGACUAGAGUGCGGAAGGGGCAACUGGAAUUCUCGGUGUAGCGGUGAAAUGCGUAGAUAUCUGGAGGAAUACCGGUGGCGAAGGCGGCAUCCUGGACCGGCAUUGACGC
rnacentral:rRNA from 1 species